rnacentral:rRNA from 1 species
AGUGAACGCUGGCGGUAGGCCUAACACACGCAAGUCGAACGGCAGCACAGGAGAGCUUGCUCUCUGGGUGGCGAGUGGCGGACGGGUGAGGAAUACAUCGGAAUCUACUCUGUCGUGGGGGAUAACGUAGGGAAACUUACGCUAAUACCGCAUACGACCUACGGGUGAAAGCAGGGGACCUUCGGGCCUUGCGCGAUUGAAUGAGCCGAUGUCGGAUUAGCUAGUUGGCGGGGUAAAGGCCCACCAAGGCGACGAUCCGUAGCUGGUCUGAGAGGAUGAUCAGCAACACUGGAACUGAGACACUGUCCAGACUCCUACGGGAGUCAGCAGUGGGGAAUAUUGGACAAUGGGCGCAAGCCUGAUCCAGCCAUACCGCGUGGGUGAAGAAGGCCUUCGGGUUGUAAAGCCCUUUUGUUGGGAAAGAAAUCCAGCUGGCUAAUACCCGGUUGGGAUGACGGUACCCAAAGAAUAAGCACCGGCUAACUUCGUGCCAGCCGCCGCCGUAA